CACGGAGUUAGCCGAUCCUUAUUCCUUCGGUACAUUCAGCUACUUACACGUAAGUAGGUUUAUUCCCGAAUAAAAGCAGUUUACGACCCAGAGGGCUGUCUUCCUGCACGCGGCAUGGCUGGUUCAGAGUUGCCUCCAUUGACCAAUAUUCCUUACUGCUGCCUCCCGUAGGAGUCUGGCCCGUGUCUCAGUACCAGUGUGGGGGGCCAUCCUCUCAGAUCCCCUAGUCAUCGUGGUCUUGGUGGGCCGUUACCCCGCCAACUAACUAAUGACACGCAUGCCCAUCUUAAUCCUAUAAAUAUUUGAUCAUUGUACAAUGCUGUACUGUGAUUUUAUGCGGUGUUAAUCCGAAUUUCUUCGGGCUAUCCCCCUGAUUAAGGUAGGUUGCAUACGCGUUACGCACCCGUGCGCCACUUUUCGAUAAGAGCAAGCCCUUAUCUAUCGUUCGACUUGCAUGUAUUAGGCCUGCCGCUAGCGUUCAUCCUGAGCCACGGAUCAAACU
rnacentral:rRNA from 1 species